UACGUAGGGUGCAAGCGUUGUCCGGAAUUAUUGGGCGUAAAGAGCUCGUAGGCGGUUUGUCGCGUCUGCUGUGAAAACUCGGGGCUUAACUCCGGGCCUGCAGUGGGUACGGGCGGACUAGAGUUCGGCAGGGGAGACUGGAAUUCCUGGUGUAGCGGUGAAAUGCGCAGAUAUCAGGAGGAACACCAAUGGCGAAGGCAGCUCGCUGGGACGGUACUGACGCUGAGGUGCGAAAGCGUGGGGAGCGAACAGG
rnacentral:rRNA from 1 species